rnacentral:lncRNA from 1 species
GUUGUAGCUCAAUCUAUUCUUUACUUAAUGUAAUUCUGUUUGGCUCUUACAGUUGAAGAAUUGUAAAUGGAAAUAGGAAUUUAAACUUCAUCUCCUUCUAACUUCACUUGACUGAGAAAGGAAUUAAAUUGGUUCAAAGUAAUGCUGAUCAUCUGAUAUCUUUGACCUUUCCACAUAUCCUGCAUGGAAGGAGGAGGAAGAAAUAUUGGAACAGGUAUUGUGAAAAUGAACAUUGACAAUAGAAGACUUGCAAAAUAAUUCUGCAGUAUUGACUCAGAGUAGCGCAAAUCCAAAGGUGCAGGUUCAAUUUACAGAUUGGUAUUAAAGGAAAGGGGCAAGCCUGAAGGAGAGAAUAUUGAUUGACUACAUUUAUGAAAAUUAUUCUGCUUUUGGGUGCUACAGAAGACCCCUGGAGAAUCCAGAGGAGAGGUAAACAAUAUUACCUCAAAUAUGUAGGUAAGUAAGAUUGCCAAAAUAAUUUUUAAUCUUCAGGUUAUGUUUUAGUAAAUAAUAUUAAAAUACACUCCAAAAUUGUAUGGAAUUUCUCAAAUUUGAAUGUCUGAGUACAUGCUAUCCAUCACAAUUAAGGGUGUUGUUUUAGGUUAUUGUAAAUUACCAAGAUAACCAAAUAUGUUAGUCAAUCAUGUUUUUGACUAUAAAUACC